AACGAACGCUGGCGGCAGGCUUAACACAUGCAAGUCGAGCGCCCCGCAAGGGGAGCGGCAGACGGGUGAGUAACGCGUGGGAAUCUACCCAUCUCUACGGAAUAACGCAUGGAAACGUGUGCUAAUACCGUAUACGUCCUUCGGGAGAAAGAUUUAUCGGAGAUGGAUGAGCCCGCGUUGGAUUAGCUAGUUGGUGGGGUAAAGGCCUGCCAAGGCGACGAUCCAUAGCUGGUCUGAGAGGAGGAUCAGCCACACUGGGACUGAGACACGGCCCAGACUCCUACGGGAGGCAGCAGUGGGUAAUAUUGGACAAUGGGCGCAAGCCUGAUCCAGCCAUGCCGCGUGAGUGAUGAAGGCCCUAGGGUUGUAAAGCUCUUUCACCGGUGAAGAUAAUGACGGUAACCGGAGAAGAAGCCCCGGCUAACUUCGUGCCAGCCGCCGCCGUAAAAC
rnacentral:rRNA from 1 species